ensembl:lncRNA
CUAACAUCUGAUGCCAAUCCUCCUCUUUUUGCUCAGGAAGACUGGCCCUGAGAUAACAUCCGUGCCCAUCUUCCUCUGUUUUAUGUGGGAUGCCUGCCACAGCAUGGCUUCACAAGCAGUGCGUAGGUCCACACCCAGGAUCUGAACCAGGCAGCCAAAGCAGAACGUGCAAAUUUAACCGCUGCACCAGUGGGCCGGCCCCUAAACACAGAAUCUUGAGCUUGCCUCAGCCCUGCUAAAUCAGAACCUGCAUUUAAACAAGACCUCUAAAGGGUCCAUUAUGUUUCAGUAUCUGAGAAGCACUGCCCUGGGGUGCCAUGUUCCUCCUAGUCCAUUUCUUCAUUUUGGGACUGGACCUCUGGCAGAGCCAAAUGGCUGCGGGUUGGGGGGCACCCAGAAGGUAUAACCUCUCCUCCUUGAUCCACAAUUUUUCUCCAGCUAAAAUGGUAACUCCCAGGGUCUUUUUUUUUUUUUUUUUGAGGAAGAGUAGCCCUGAGCUAACAUCUGUGCCCAUCUUCCUCCACUUUAUGCAUGGGACGCCUGCCACAGCAUGGCUUGAUCAGCGGUGUGUACGUCCGCCCCCAGGAUCCAAACCAGUGAAUCCUGGGCCACCAAAACAGAGCACGUGAACUUAACCACUGUACCACUGGGCCAGUCCCAACUCCCAGGGUCUCAAAGAAACUUCAUGGAAAUAGCACAGAAACAACACAAGAAGGCUUUGUGAAGGUCAUUUUUGUGAGUAGUGAGAAAUCAAAACAGAAGUCCCACAGAUGGGGAAGGUCUGGGGCAGGAGUGGACGCAUGCUUUGGUUCUCUGAAGCCCAGGGGAAGGGAACAAUGUGUAAUUUGUGACCCAGUGAGAGGCAGGGUAUGCUUUCUCUCAGUUUCUGUGGGAAGCACACCUGGUGGCUCAGGAGUUUACCCUGAAGGUGAGGCACUGGCUUUCCUCCCUGUCUCUGUGGGUCUCUGAUGCCUCCAUUCUUUCAUUCUCACUAACUUAGAAAAGCCAACUUGAAAAUGCUCUAAUCUGAGGGAUCAAGUGUCUUGGCCACGAUGCUAGUCCUUGCAGAGGGUGUUCUCCAGGAUUAAUAUCUGCAGAGUUUGCUCUGAGACCACCACGCACAGGACCAGUAUCCCCCUGCAACUGAAAAGGUGGCAGCACCAGAAUCAUCAGCACAGCCUAGGAGGGUUUGUGACCUGGCAGAAGGUGACUUGCAUCAGGCGAGAGGAGCCACUGUGAGGAGCUCGGGUACAUAGUUGUACAUUUUAGCCGUGGGUCCUUCUAGUUGUGGCAUGUGGGACACUGCCUCAACACGGCCUGAUGAACAGUGCCAUGUCCGCGCCCAGGAUCCGAAUCGGCGAAACCCUGGGCCACUGAAGCGGAGCGCAUGAACUUAACUGCUCGGCCACGGGGCGGGCCCCAUCGCAGCCAUUUUUAAGUGUACGGUUCAGUAGUGUCUUGCGUUUUCCGAGAUGCUCCGGAACUCUAGAAGGACAAAGAAGCAUUUCACAUCCUUCUUCAGGGAAAGCAGCACCCUCCAAGGAAGAGUGGCUCCACCCUGACUAGCCACAGAGUGGCCCAAGAUAAGCGCUCAGAAAGGACAGGGCCUUGCAGUGUGCCCCUGGCAUAGGGAGGACUCACAUUUCAUUCCAUGGAAGGACUUCGAUUGGUGGAGGCUGCCUAAACCAGCACCUGUGAGACUUCCUUGUGCAGGUGAGUCACCUGGGAAUAUUGCUAAAAUGAAGAGUCUGAUUCAACGAGCUUGGAGUGGGAUCUGAGAUUUUGCAUUUCCAACGAGCUCCCUGGUGGUGCUGAUGCUGCCGUUUUGAGUAGUAAGGUGUUAGAGCACUGUGUUGAGAAGGAAUCUGAGCCUACAUUUGUGCUCAGUGGGAAAGAGUGCCAUGACUAACUAGUAACGUCUGCCAUGGGCAGACGAGUGAGCUGUGAAUACAUGCCAUCUUU